CAUGCAAGUCGAGGGGUAACAUUGUGCUUGCACAGAUGACGACCGGCGCACGGGUGCGUAACGCGUAUAGAACCUACCUUUUACAGAGGGAUAGCCUUUAGAAAUGAAGAUUAAUACCUCAUAGUAUUGAGACUUGGCAUCAAGUUUUAAUUAAAGAUUUAUCGGUAAAAGAUGGCUAUGCGUCCUAUUAGUUAGUUGGUAAGGUAACGGCUUACCAAGACAUCGAUAGGUAGGGGUCCUGAGAGGGAGAUCCCCCACACUGGUACUGAGACACGGACCAGACUCCUACGGGGAGGCAGCAGUGAGGAAUAUUGGACAAUGGAGGAGACUCUGAUCCAGCCAUGCCGCGUGUAGGAAGAAUGCCCUAUGGGUUGUAAACUACUUUUAUACAGGAAGAAACACUGGUAUGUAUACCAGCUUGACGGUACUGUAAGAAUAAGGACCGGCUAACUCCGUGCCAGCAGCCGCGGUAAUACGGAGGGUCCAAGCGUUAUCCGGAAUCAUUGGGUUUAAAGGGUCCGCAGGCGGUCAAUUAAGUCAGAGGUGAAAUCCCAUAGCUUAACUAUGGAACUGCCUUUGAUACUGGUUGACUUGAGUCAUAUGGAAGUAGAUAGAAUGUGUAGUGUAGCGGUGAAAUGCAUAGAUAUUACACAGAAUACCGAUUGCGAAGGCAGUCUACUACGUAUGUACUGACGCUCAUGGACGAAAGCGUGGGGAGCGAACAGGAUUAGAUACCCUGGUAGUCCACGCCGUAAACGAUGGAUACUAGUUGUUGGGAUUUAUCUCAGUGACUAAGCGAAAGUGAUAAGUAUCCCACCUGGGGAG
rnacentral:rRNA from 1 species